rnacentral:snoRNA from 4 species
ACACAUGAUGACUGAAAUUCUUCACUUUGACCUGAUGUCUGUUGAAGAAACUCUGUGUCUGAGC